CCACCAAUGUAAAGAUGUCUGUAAUCACGCACCAAUUCAAAAUUCAUUAAUUUUCCACACGGAACAAUCGUUUCCCAAAAGGAUAGAAAGAACCUAACCCGAUCCACCAGCCCAGAUGAAAACAUCAACGGUUAGAGAAAAACUUAAUUAGAAAAACGCCGCCGACUCCGCCCUGUUGGAUUGUCCUCUUCGGGCACGAUCGCGGUGUCGCGCCCCCCACGUGAAUGACGGCCGCCCCCUCACCCCGGCGCCCCCUCCUCCUCCAACGGUGGCCGCGAGGAUGGAUCCGGCACCUAUUCCGCGAGGACGGAUCCGGCACCUACUCCGCGAAACGGUGACGUCCUUCCUCCUCCAAUCUCUCCCAGAUGCUUUCCUUCCCACAGAUCUAUCCUCGCCGCCACCUCCCGCCGGUCUCCGCCAUCGCCUUCCUCCCGAUCGUCACCGACAUCGGCCUUCCCAUCGUCCGCAGCGGCCUAUUCUCCAACAGCAAAACACUGCCCCCCUCCUCGCCACCGGCCCUGGCCUCUGCUCCCGUCGACUUCCGCGACUUGGACCCUGAUUAUCCCUCUUCCGUCGCAGCCGCGUCUCCCCCUCACUCACCACCACCGUCAGCCCGGUGUCACCGUCUGAGAUGGUUUCAUCCUCGAGAGCGGGCGAGCAAGGAAGCUUAGGUGGUCCUCACUCGUCGCCACCGUCCGCCUGGCGUCACCGUCUAGGAGGGUUUCGUCUUCGAGAGCGGCCAAACAGGGCAAGCUACAGGUGAAUGGGCGAACAGGGAAGUUUAGGCGCUGUUUUAUCCACGU
rnacentral:lncRNA from 1 species